GUGGGUGUAGCCCAGUGGUAGAGCACAUGCUUCGCAUUCACGAGGUUCUGGGUUCAAUUCCCAGUACCUCCA
rnacentral:tRNA from 1 species